AGGCAAUAGAUACCCCGGUAGUCCACGCCCUAAACGAUGUCUACUAGUUGUUGGUGGAGUAAAAUCCAUGAGUAAACGCAGCUAAACGCGUGAAGUAGACCGCCUGGGGAGUACGGUCGCAAGAUUAAAAACUCAAAGGAAUUGACGGGGGCCCGCACAAGCGGUGGAUUAUGUGGAUUAAAUUCGAUGCAACGCGAAAAACCUUACCUGGCCUUGACAUGCCACUAACGAAGCAGAGAUGCAUUAGGUGCCCGUAAGGGAAAGUGGACACAGGUGCUGCAUGGCUGUCGUCAGCUCGUGUCGUGAGAUGUUGGGUUAAGUCCCGCAACGAGCGCAACCCUUGCCAUUAAUUGCCAUCAUUUAGUUGGGCACUUUAAUGGGACUGCCGGUGACAAACCGGAGGAAGGUGGGGAUGACGUCAAGUCCUCAUGGCCCUUAUGGCCAGGGCUUCACACGUAAUACAAUGGUCGGUACAGAGAGUUGCCAACCCGCGAGGGGAGCUAAUCUCAGAAAGCCGAUCGUAGUCCGGAUUGUUCUCUGC
rnacentral:rRNA from 1 species